UACGUAGGGCGCAAGCGUUGUCCGGAAUUAUUGGGCGUAAAGAGCUCGUAGGCGGCCUGUUGCGUCCGCCGUGAAAUCCCGGGGCUUAACCCCGGGCGUGCAGUGGAUACGGGCAGGCUGGAGGCAGGCAGGGGAGAACGGAAUUCCCGGUGUAGCGGUGAAAUGCGCAGAUAUCGGGAGGAACACCGGUGGCGAAGGCGGUUCUCUGGGCCUGUACUGACGCUGAGGAGCGAAAGCGUGGGGAGCGAACAGG
rnacentral:rRNA from 1 species